UACCAGCACCCCGAGUGGUCGGGACGUUUAUUGGGCCUAAAGCAUCCGUAGCCGGUUCUACAAGUCUUCCGUUAAAUCCACCUGCUCAACAGAUGGGCUGCGGAAGAUACUAUGGAGCUAGGAGGCGGGAGAGGCAAGCGGUACUCGAUGGGUAGGGGUAAAAUCCGUUGAUCCAUUGAAGACCACCAGUGGCGAAGGCGGCUUGCCAGAACGCGCUCGACGGUGAGGGAUGAAAGCUGGGGGAACAAACCGG
rnacentral:rRNA from 1 species